CCUACGGGGGGCUGCAGUGAGGAAUAUUGGUCAAUGGGCGCGAGCUUGAACCAGCCAAGUCGCGUGAGGGAGGACGGCCCUACGGGUUGUAAACCUCUUUUGCCGGGGAGCAACGGGCGCCACGUGUGGCGCCACUGAGAGUACCCGGAGAAAAAGCACCGGCUAACUCCGUGCCAGCAGCCGCGGUAAUACGGAGGAUGCGAGGGUUAUCCGGUUUUAUUGGGUUUAAAGGGUGCGUAGGCGGAUGGUUAAGUCAGUGGUAAAAUUGAGGGGCUCAACCCGUUCCCGCCGUUGAAACUGGCGUUCUUGAGUGGGCGAGAAGUAUGCGGAAUGCGUGGUGUAGCGGUGAAAUGCAUAGAUAUCACGCAGAACCCCGAUUGCGAAGGCAGCAUGCCGGCUUCCGACUGACGCUGAAGCACGAAAGCGUGGGGAUCGAACAGGAUUAGAUACCCGAGUAGUC
rnacentral:rRNA from 1 species